AAGUCGUAACAAGGUUUCCGUAGGUGAACCUGCGGAAGGAUCAUUACUGAUUUGGCGGACCGAGCUUCAGCGAGGUUUCGCGAUCACUUGUAUUUAAAACCCACACUUUGAACGUAUAUGUAUAUUUUUGUAUUUUUUAAUAAUAAAAGAUCACUUUCAACAACGGAUCUCUUGGCUCUC
rnacentral:misc_RNA from 1 species